GAUGAACGCUAGCGGCAGGCCUAAUACAUGCAAGUCAAGGGGCCAGUAAUGGCACCGGCGGACGGGUGCGUAACGCGUACACAACGUACCUUUGGGUGGGGGAUAGCAUCGGGAAACUGGUGGUAAUACCCCAUGGUAUUGGAGACUGGCAUCAGUUUUCAAUUAAAGACUACGCCCAAAGAUCGGUGUGCGUCUGAUUAGCUAGUUGGUAGGGUAACGGCCUACCAAGGCGACGAUCAGUAGGGGAUGUGAGAGCAUGAUCCCCCACACGGGUACUGAGACACGGACCCGACUCCUACGGGAGGCAGCAGUAAGGAAUAUUGGACAAUGGGCGCAAGCCUGAUCCAGCAAUGCCGCGUGGAUGAAGAAGGUCUUCGGAUUGUACAGUCCUUUCGACGGGGACGAUGAUGACGGUACCCGUAGAAGAAGCCCCGGCUAACUUCGUG
rnacentral:rRNA from 1 species